UUUUUCAUUAAAUGGCCAAGUGGCCUCUUUAAUAAAAGAGGCAGUGCCUCUUCGUUCAGUUUUUUUUAGAACCACAGAGAGCUCUUCUUCAGUUUUCUUCUUUUGGAUUUUCAUUGAAAUAUUACGAUAUACAAAGAUCUAACGGUCCAAUCUUAAAUCCGAUUUUAGCAACGUAAUCCUUGAAGCCCGAUCUAUAUUUUGACCGAACGUUUUGAGAUUUUGUGUGGUUUGGAGUUACUAGGAGCUUCCCGAGCAUUGGGUCUUGGCGUGGUGAAUUUUUGCAGCACUUUACAGUUGAGCUUAAAGUCGUUUGGAUAUUGGGAGUACAAACGAUCUGAGAUGAUAUUCCUAUGAUUGCAGGUACUCCUGAGGCGGAUGACGAUCCGGUAGCUUACUAUUUGAGUUACUACGAUUGAAGCCCGUAGCGACAGUCGUAAUGGGAUAGGACUAUGGUGUCCUUAUUUUGAUUGUUUUUGUAUAUGGCUUGUGACGUAUGUGUCACUCAUUAUUUUGUUUAAGCCAUUCUUUUGUAACAGCUGUAUGUAGUUAAGCUUUAAACAGAUAGACUUGUGUUAUGACUCACUUUUGUAUAGAUAACAGGUUUAUUUAUAGUUAUGUUUUUCCGCUA